GGUUACUGCUAUCGGUGUUCGCUUAAGCCAUGCGAGUCAUAUGUUCUUCGGAACAUGGCGUACUGCUCAGUAACACGUGGAUAACCUGCCCUUGGGUCCGGCAUAACCCCGGGAAACUGGGGAUAAUUCCGGAUAACGCACAUAUGCUGGAAUGCUUUAUGCGUCAAAUGGAUUCGUCCGCCCAAGGAUGGGUCUGCGGCCUAUCAGGUAGUAGUGGGUGUAAUGUACCUACUAGCUUACGACGGGUACGGGUUGUGAGAGCAAGAGCCCGGAGAUGGAUUCUGAGACAUGAAUCCAGGCCCUACGGGGCGCAGCAGGCGCGAAAACUCUACAAUGCGGGAAACCGUGAUAAGAGGACACCGAGUGCCAGCAUCAUAUGCUGGCUGUCCGGGUGUGUAAAAUACACCUGUUAGCAAGGGCCGGGCAAGACCGGUGCCAGCCGCCGCGGUAACACCGGCGGCCCGAGUGGUGAUCGUGAUUAUUGGGUCUAAAGGGUCCGUAGCCGGUUUGGUCAGUCCUCCGGGAAAUCUGACGGCUUAACCGUUAGGCUUUCGGGGGAUACUGCCAGACUUGGAACCGGGAGAGGUAAGAGGUACUACAGGGGUAGGAGUGAAAUCUUGUAAUCCCUGUGGGACCACCUGUGGCGAAGGCGUCUUACCAGAACGGGUUCGACGGUGAGGGACGAAAGCUGGGGGCACGAACCGGAUUAGAUACCCGGGUAGUCCCAGCCGUAAACGAUGCUCGCUAGGUGUCAGGCAUGGCGCGACCGUGUCUGGUGCCGCAGGGAAGCCGUGAAGCGAGCCACCUGGGAAGUACGGCCGCAAGGCUGAAACUUAA
rnacentral:rRNA from 1 species